CUUGGGGGAAUGUAUAGCAAUUGCUAUUUGCACUAAUGUUAUUAGUGUAAAAUUAACUACGUUGAAUAAAAUUCUGGAUAGAAUUAUGAUAAUGACAUUAUCUAUUCAUAAGUCUUGACCAAAUUACGUGCCAGCUGUCGCGGUAAUACGUAGAAGACAAGUGUUAUUCAUCUUUAAUAGGUUUAAAGCGUACUUAGACAGUAAAUAAAGCCUCCAAAAGGGACUAGUUUGCUAGAGUUUUAUAUGAAGGGGUUUUAAAGUACUACUGGUGUAGAGAUGAAAUUCCGUUAUACCUUAAAUGGCACAGGUUAAGGCGAAGGCAUCCUCUUAUGUAAAAACUGACGUUGAAGGACGAAGGCUUUGUGUCUCGAACAGGAUUAGAUACCCUAGUAGUCUAAGCAGAAAAUGAUGAAUGUCAUAGAUUAGAUUUAAUUUGAUCUAUAAAUGAAAGUGUAAGCAUUCCACCUCAAGAGUAAUUUGGCAACAUUGGAACUGAAAUCAUUAGACCGUUUCUGAAACCAGUAGUGAUGUAUGUUGUUUAAUUUGAUAACCCGCAAAAAACCUUACCACGAUUUGAAUAGAUAUAUUUUAUCAUACAAGCGCUGCACGGCUGUCUUCAGUUAAUGUCGUAAGACUUUGGUUAGUUCCUUUAAAUUAACGUAAACCCUUGCUUUAUUUUUAUAUAAAGUAGUUCACCGCUAUAUUGGAUGUGAUAACAGGGAUCAAGACAAGUCAUCAUGGCCUAAAUAUCGUGG
rnacentral:rRNA from 1 species